rnacentral:lncRNA from 1 species
CUCCUCCUGCGCCUCCACCACGAACCCCAUGUCGAUCUUCACGCUCGUCACGCAUCCCAACGCCACGUGCAGGAUCGCCGUCGCUAUGGCGGAGCUACCUAUGUCGACGUCGAUCUCCAAAUAGUUAGGACCUCUGUGGUAAUUGCAGGUUAGAGCCUUCCCCAGCAGGCACGCGUUGUAAUUCCCCACUGUUUUCCGUACCACCCACGGCCCUUUCACUAUCCGAUUCACGAUUUUGAAUCGCUGAUUCCGGUACGCGUCGUCGCCGUACAUGAAUUUGUGCAGGAGGCUCCCCGGAGGAAUCGGAUCUGGAGCCGCGAAGUAGAAGACCGCGCUGUGUUGGUCUUUCCCCGGGACCUGGAGGUUCACCGCGAAUACGAAGCUCUUGAGCGAUCUCCCUUCCGAUUGCGCCUUGCGGAGGGCCUGAGCGACUCGAUUGUCCGGGUGGCCGAGUACGUUGUCGAGUUUGGUGGUGGACUUUAGCCAAUCCAUGCCGGCAGGGGAGAGCAGGUAGUCUCCCGCGGGGGAUUUUUGUUUCUUGUUAAAGUAAUUCUUAGAGCGGAGAGAGAAUAGGUUACCGGGAGGUGAAGACCAGCCGUUGGUUCCGUUGUCGAGGUCUACGUGGCGGAGAGAUCCGCCGUUGAUUGACUCCGCGAUCCAAUCGGGAGCGGUGGAGCUUAUGGUUGUGGCGGAGUCGGCGUCGGGAAUCCCGACCUUGGAAAUAGAUCUGGAAACGGCGGAGGCGGAGCUCCGGUGCUUCUGUUUGGAUGGGCUCAUGGCGCAAUUCUAUGUUGGGAUUUCUGUAUCUUUUUGCUCUCUCUGUGGUUUAAUCUGUUUGCUUUUUGUGUGUUCCGGUAUGUGUUAUUAUUACUCCGGGAAGGAGGAGGAGGAUGGAGAAGGAGCGGAGGAC